UUCCAUAGAAACACUGCUGUCCGUUAAAGGCAGCAGUUGAUAGCUUCACACUCAGCACCAACUGAUCCCAGGUAGACCACAUUGGAUCUGCUCAGAAUCAGCUACAGCUACACAUUUAUCAAAGGGCUCUGCCUGCACUACUGGCUUUCUGAAACUGCUGUUUAACUGGCUUCUGAAUCGGAAACUGCGGCUUAGUUAACUGUUGAACAGGCUUCUGAAGUGGAAAUUGCGGGUUAGGUAGGUGUUGAACUGGCUUCUGAAGUGGAAAUUGCGGGUUAGGUAGGUGUUGAACUGGUUUCUGAAGUGGAAACUGCUGGUUAGUUAGCUGUUGAACAGGCUUCUGAAGCGGAAACUGUUGGUUAGUUAGCUGUUGAACUGGCUUCUGGAGCUGAAACUGCUGGUCAGUCUGCUGGAGCUGAAACUGCUGGUCAGUCUGCUGCAUCAUCAGAGCUUGAGCAUCCUGAAGUGACUUACUCCACUGUGGAACAGCAUGACAGAAAGCACAGACCAACGAAAUCUGAACCAAACACCAACUUCCAGCCAUUGUUCAACAGCUAAACACAAA